ACUCUGUUCCCUACUGACUGUGAUAUGAAUCUUUGCUCUGUCCUGGUAAAAGCAAAAUAACCCAUGCCCGACUCCACUGAUGUUCUGAAAUUCUGAUAAGGCUAUCUGAGAACAUUCAUCCUCUUGGGUGGCUGAUUUCCUCCUAUACAGAUGGAGAAACCCUAUGCACUUCUCUUAUCCCUUUCCUAUUUUCGUUUAUAAAACUCUUUCCCAAUUUUCUCCACC
rnacentral:lncRNA from 1 species